UCUUGCCUACGGGACGCAGCAGUGAGGAAUAUUGGUCAAUGGGCGCGAGCCUGAACCAGCCAAGUCGCGUGAGGGAGGACGGCCCUACGGGUUGUAAACCUCUUUUGCCGGGGAGCAAGGGCGGGGACGUGUCCCGGCCCGGAGAGUACCCGGAGAAAAAGCAUCGGCUAACUCCGUGCCAGCAGCCGCGGUAAUACGGAGGAUGCGAGCGUUAUCCGGAUUUAUUGGGUUUAAAGGGUGCGUAGGCGGGCUUUUAAGUCAGCGGUAAAAAUUCGGGGCUCAACCCCGUCCGGCCGUUGCAACUG
rnacentral:rRNA from 1 species